rnacentral:rRNA from 1 species
UAGGGCUAAGGGGGCUAGCGGAUGGAAGUGCUAGUCUAAGGUCGUAGGAGGUUAUACAGGCAAAUCCGUAUAACAAUACUCCGAGAACUGAAAGGCUUUUUGAAGUCUUCGGAUGGAUAGAAGAACCCCUGAUGCCGUCGAGCCAAGAAAAGUUUCUAAGUUUAGCUAAUGUUGCCCGUACCGUAAACCGACACAGGUGGGUGGGAUGAGUAUUCUAAGGCGCGUGGAAGAACUCUCUUUAAGGAACUCUGCAAAAUAGCACCGUAUCUUCGGUAUAAGGUGUGGUUAGCUUUGUAUUAGGAUUUACUCCGAAAGCAAGGAAACUUACAACAAAGAGUCCCUCCCGACUGUUUACCAAAAACACAGCACUCUGCUAACUCGUAAGAGGAUGUAUAGGGUGUGACGCCUGCCCGGUGCUCGAAGGUUAAUUGAUGGGGUUAGCAUUAGCGAAGCUCUUGAUCGAAGCCCGAGUAAACGGCGGCCGUAACUAUAACGGUCCUAAGGUAGCGAAAUUCCUUGUCGGUUAAAUACCGACCUGCAUGAAUGGCGUAACGAGAUGGGAGCUGUCUCAAAGAGGGAUCCAGUGAAAUUGUAGUGGAGGUGAAAAUUCCUCCUACCCGCGGCAAGACGGAAAGACCCCGUGGACCUUUACUACAGCUUGACACUGCUACUUGGAUAAGAAUGUGCAGGAUAGGUGGGAGGCUUUGAGUAUAUGACGCCAGUUGUAUAUGAGCCAUUGUUGAGAUACCACUCUUUCUUAUUUGGGUAGCUAACCAGCUUGAGUUAUCCUCAAGUGGGACAAUGUCUGGUGGGUAGUUUGACUGGGGCGGUCGCCUCCCAAAUAAUAACGGAGGCUUACAAAGGUUGGCUCAGAACGGUUGGAAAUCGUUCGUAGAGUAUAAAGGUAUAAGCCAGCUUAACUGCAAGACAUACAAGUCAAGCAGAGACGAAAGUCGGUCUUAGUGAUCCGGUGGUUCUGUGUGGAAGGGCCAUCGCUCAAAGGAUAAAAGGUACCCCGGGGAUAACAGGCUGAUCUCCCCCAAGAGCUCACAUCGACGGGGAGGUUUGGCACCUCGAUGUCGGCUCAUCGCAUCCUGGGGCUGGAGCAGGUCCCAAGGGUAUGGCUGUUCGCCAUUUAAAGCGGUACGCGAGCUGGGUUCAGAACGUCGUGAGACAGUUCGGUCCCUAUCUGCCGUGGGCGUAAGAAGAUUGAAGAGAUUUGACCCUAGUACGAGAGGACCGGGUUGAACAAACCACUGGUGUAGCUGUUGUUCUGCCAAGAGCAUCGCAGCGUAGCUAAGUUUGGAAAGGAUAAACGCUGAAAGCAUCUAAGCGUGAAGCCAACUCUAAGAUGAAUCUUCUCUAAGCUCUCUAGAAGACUACUAGUUUGAUAGGCUGGGUGUGUAAUGGAUGAAAGUCCUUUAGCUGACCAGUACUAAUAGAGCGUUUGGCUUAUCUUUAAUAAAGCAU